GAGCAGAUAAACGCAAAGAGGCGGGCUUCUUAUCGAAAGAAAAGAGAUAUGCUUAUAGCAGAUGAAAAUCUUGCUCCACAUACAAUGACAACUAGCUGCGGUGUUACAUCAUCCUCACAUGACGAUGCAGCGUUGUCAUUAUCAACUACACUCAAUCAUUAUGAAAAUGUGCCUCCCCUUACUAUAUCAGGGGUUGUCUUGGAUAACACCAAAGAAAUUAGGCUAAUACGUCCAGGUGGAUGCAAUAAAAACUUGACUGUCGAAAAAAGGGAGCAGAUAAAUGCAAAAAGACGGGCUUCUUAUCAGAAGAAAAGAGAGAUGCUUAUCGAAGAUGAAAAACUUACUCUCCAUACGAUAU